rnacentral:rRNA from 1 species
UACGAAGGGGGCUAGCGUUGUUCGGAAUCACUGGGCGUAAAGGGCGCGUAGGCGGCCGAUCAAGUCGGGGGUGAAAGCCUGUGGCUCAACCACAGAAUUGCCUUCGAUACUGUUUGGCUUGAGACCGGAAGAGGUAAGUGGAACUGCGAGUGUAGAGGUGAAAUUCGUAGAUAUUCGCAAGAACACCAGUGGCGAAGGCGGCUCACUGGCCCAUAACUGACGCUGAGGCACGAAAGCGUGGGGAGCAAACAGG